rnacentral:rRNA from 1 species
ACUAAGCCAUGCGAGUCUUUGCAGUAAUGCAAGGCAUACGGCUCAGUAACACGUAGUCAACCUACCCUAUGGACGAGAAUAAUCUCGGGAAACUGAGCAUAAUUCUUGAUAGAUCAUAAUGCCUGGAAUGGUUUAUGGUUAAAAUGAUUCGUCGCCAUAGGAUGGGACUGCGGCCUAUCAGCUUGUUGGUGAGGUAAUGGCCCACCAAGGCGAUUACAGGUACGGGCUCUGAGAGGAGAAGCCCGGAGAUGGGUACUGAGACACGGACCCAGGCCCUAUGGGGCGCAGCAGGCGAGAAAACUUUGCAAUGUGCGAAAGCACGACAAGGUUAAUCCGAGUGAUUUCUGCUAAAGAAAUCUUUUGCCAGUCGUAAAACCGCUGGUGAAUAAGGGGUGGGCAAGUUCUGGUGUCAGCCGCCGCGGUAAAACCAGCACCUCAAGUGGUCAGGAUGAUUAUUGGGCCUAAAGCAUCCGUAGCCGGCUUUGUAAGUUUUCGGUUAAAUCCAUGUGCUCAACGCAUGGGCUGCCGAAAAUACUGCAUAGCUAGGGAGUGGGAGAGGUAGACGGUACUCAGUAGGUAGGGGUAAAAUCCUUUGAUCUAUUGAUGACCACCUGUGGCGAAGGCGGUCUACCAGAACACGUUCGACGGUGAGGGAUGAAAGCUGGGGGAGCAAACCGGAUUAGAUACCCGGGUAGUCCCAGCUGUAAACGAUGCAGACUAGAUGAUGCAUUGGCAUAAUAGCCAUUGCAGU